CUCUUCCUACCAGCCUGGAUUGAUGGAGAGCCCUGUGGAUCUUGUCUCGCUCUCAGUUGCACGUCUUCGCAGGCUGAACUGUAUUUGUUUCGGACAGGACUAGCUGAACGAUUGGUUCUGAUUUAAGGGAACCAAUCGUGGGAACUCCAACUAGUGCGCUCUUCGUGCUGAAGUUGUGCUCUUCGGCUGAGGAGGUAAGGAAACCUUCACUGGGGCUUCAAGGUGUAAAGAGGAGGACUGUUUCAAAGUGUUCCAUAGUACUCUGAUGAAGACCGUUGUUGUGUUCCACUGGCUGAGGGGAAGAACCCUCACAUCUUCCUCUUGGCCUUUCUCCUCUGAGAAUCCUGCCGCCAUCUUGAAGGAUAUUCUAGUGCAUGUAACUGAUGUCACGACAGAUUCUCAAACACUUGGUUUCUCCUGAGGGGCUUGUCUAUAGAACUGAAGACGUCAGACGGCACUGUAUCCCAGCAUGCAUCUCUGCUCACUCAGACCACACCCCCAUGAGUAGGAUGCAACGCUCUAGUGAUGGAGUUGUAGAGUUUUAUAAGUAACGAGGGAGCAGACAAAGGUGAUUGGAACACAAUGGCAUGUCAAGUCUGUAAAUCUUUAAACCAUGAAGAUGGUUGGAUAGUUCAGGAAUUGGGCUUUAUUUUAGUAAGGGCAGUCCUUAUUGAAUGAUUCCAUUGUUUUUAGGCAAGGAUUUGUUGUUGUGGGAUGUACAAGGUAGUUGGGUUCUUCGUACGGUUUUGAUUGAUAUAACUUGUACACACUGGGUGCAUAAUAAUUUAAAGGUACACUGAAUAGUAGUAAUGACCAACAGCAACAAACAGAUCUCCUCAAGGUAAGUCUGUUGGCUGUAUUUUAAUGAAGACCAUCGCUGGACUUCAGGAUCUUCCUCCGCUCAGCUCAAGGUGAGGCGCUGGUUAUGUUUUUUCCUUGGUUGGUUCCGGCUGGAAUGUUCGGAUUCCAGUCGGACGGUUUGUGCUUCCCGUCGUGGAAGGUUUUGAGUGCGGUCACUUGAUUUAGUCCCAAUGGUUAGCAUAGAACGUUGUAGUCUUGACAACCAUUAGAAGCCACCUGGCAGUUAGUUGGACAGGAAUCUGGCUGAAGGUUCUGGAUUAUAUUUGCGUAACCUCGAGCCGUUGCCAACGGAAACUAUUUUCCGUCGUUUCCAUUGGGAAUUGUUUUCCCAUUAUCUUAAACAACUUAAGUUUGAUAUUAAAUACAUACUGACACGUACAUCGUACAAUAUGUUUAAUUUUCGAUUGUUGCAGCGUACUUUUAACCACGUUAACGGGACUCUCGCUGCGUACAAAACGGCGUUCUACUUGCGGGCCCAUUUUUGACAUCAGUGAAGGCUGAAGAUCAUUUCAAGGUGGAAGAUAAUUUGACAUUUCUUCAACGGAACCCAGCACCUGAAUAUGGCGAGUAAAUUUGAUUUAAUGUCAAUACUGCUUAGUGUUCUUUGCGACUUCAGCUUUUGUACGUUCUAAAUAUCUGCUGUCAUUAAUUGCCACAGAAGUUAAACCCUACCUAAUGGAAUGACGUUAAACAACGACUUUGGUGCUGAGUUACCAACUGGAUAAUAUCAAAGCUAAAAUAAUGGCCGUCCUUCCCACGUGUUACAGUAGAAGAUACUCUAUCUGUACAAGGUUAAAAAGGUAACAUGUAGUUUGUCCCAAGGUGUCCACCUCCUCACCCAGAGCCAGACCUCCACCUCCUCACCCAGAGCCAGACCUCCACCUCCUCACCCAGAGCCAGAUCUCCACCUCCUCACAAGUCCUCCAGAACAGCUGAAAGGCGAGGCUGAGAGGCUGGGGACCGGAGGCUUGUGGUGCCAGGAUGGACCAGAGACUGAGGCUGGAGACCAGGGGCCUGCAGCACCAGACCAGAGGACCAGGAAUCCAUGGCUGAAGGAGCUGAUGGAGGAGCCGUGCUGAAGGCCCUGCCUGGUGGAGGAGCCGUGCUGGAGGCCCUGCCUGGUGGAGGAGCUGUGCUGGAGGCCCUGCCUGUUGGAGGAGCUGAUGGAGGCCCUGCCUGGUGGAGGAGCCGUGCUGAAGGCCCUGCCUGUUGGAGGAGCUGAUGGAGGCCCUGCCUGGUGGAGGAGCCAUGCUGGAGGCCCUGCCUGGUGGAGGAGCCGUGCUGAAGGCCCUGCCUGUUGGAGGAGCUGAUGGAGGCCCUGCCUGGUGGAGGAGCCGUGCUGGAGGCCCUGCCUGGUGGAGGAGCCGUGCUGGAGGCCCUGCCUGGUGGAGGAGCCGUGCUGAAGGCCCUGCCUGUUGGAGGAGCUGAUGGAGGCCCUGCCUGGUGGAGGAGCCGUGCUGAAGGCCCUGCCUGGUGGAGGAGCUGAUGGAGGCCCUGCCUGGUGGAGGACUGUCUGUCGUGGGGUAGAUGGAGCAUGACUCUGAAAUGAUCAUCACACUCACUGCCACUUCUCGUAGAAUACUGCUACCACAAACCACCGCCUUUUGUACCAUAUAUACCAGAUGACUACAUCUGUUUUACCACAUGUUGAAGCAAGACUUCCGCUGUUUGUUCCUGACCAGGACUCUGGCUGAGGAGAGCUGCUGGAGGAGCUGAGACGCUGGAGGACGACUACGAAUCGACCAACAAGGAUUCCUCAACGUGUUUCUGGAGCGGAGGCGAGCUGGUAGGGGAGCCAAGACUCUGGAGGACGACAUCACUCUACCAACAAGGAUCAUCGUAAGUUUGCAUAAAAGACAAAUUACGUUUGUAACCAGACCAGGAAUCUGGAGGACUGACGGAGAAACCGUACAUCUGGAAGGCAAAUCCUGAGGACGACCAGGACUCUACCAUCAAGGAUUCCUAGUAA